rnacentral:lncRNA from 1 species
AUUUUCUAGCUUUUAUUAAUUUCUGUUUUAUUUUCUUUAAUUCUUUUUAUUUUUAAAAAUUCAUAACUUCUUUAUUUGAAUCACAAAAAUAUGGGACCAAUUGCAAAAAAUUCUAGUUUCAUAAUAUGAUUUUUAAUUAUUUUUGUGAUUCUAUUUAAUAUUUUUUGUGAAUUGUUUUGUUUUUAAUUGUUUUUAAUUCAUUUUAAAUACUUUUAGAUAUUCAAAAAUACCAAAAAUAUUUUUUUAACAUGCAUGAAUGAUGAUAAGUCUAUGAAAAAUAUUCUCAUCAGUUUCUUAAUUGAUUUGAGAUUUUAGUUCAUAUAUGUUAUUUUUCUCCAUUUUUAAUUGUUUAAAAU